UACGGGAGGCAGCAGUGGGGAAUAUUGCACAAUGGGCGAAAGCCUGAUGCAGCUAUGCCGCGUGUAUGAAGAAGGCCUUAGGGUUGUAAAGUACUUUCAUCGGGGAGGAAAAAACAAAACUAAUAAUUUUAUUUCUUGACGUUACCCGAAAAAGAAGCACCGGCUAACUCCGUGCCAGCAGCCGCGGUAAUACGGAGGGUGCUAGCGUUAAUCAGAAUUACUGGGCGUAAAGAGCACGUAGGUGGUUUUUUUAAGUCAGAUGUGAAAUCCCUGGGCUUAACCUAGGAACUGCAUUUUGAAACUGAAAUACUAGAGUAUCGUAGAGGGAGGUAGAAUUCUAGGUGUAGCGGUGAAAUGCGUAGAUAUCUGGAGAAAUACCUGUGGCGAAAGCGGCCUCCUAAACGAAUACUGACACUGAGGUGCGAAAGCGUGGGGAGCAAACAGGGAUUAGAUACC
rnacentral:rRNA from 1 species